AAAAAAAGGACUUACACCUGUGUUGGUUCUCCUGAAGCUUGUAUUUGUCUAAAUGUUUCAUUAUCCAGACCACUAUAAAUACCAUUAUUAUUUAUAAUGAUGACAAUAAUUGUUAUCUACCUAAACAUUGUUUCAAUUUCCAUGCCAGAAAACCCAAAUGCACUGUCUCCUUCUACACAAAUAACUCUUUUUGUGGGAGCAUUUUUUUUACAAUAAAGGGCGGCUGCUAUAGCAAACCCCAAACCGACGCCCAUUGUACCAAAGGUAGCAGCAUCUAGUCUGUGACGGGGUUGAUUAUUUAAUAAAAUCGUUUUUCCUAUGUCCAUUGUAUUAGCUCCUUCUGAGCAAAUAAUACAAUCUACAAGAAGAAACUAAAUAUUUGUAUUACUUAUUUCCAUAAUUAUCAUUAUAAAAUAUCGUUUAAUUUAAAUGAGAAAUGUUAUUAACCAGAUGGAAUUGUAUCUUGAAUAUGUUUAAAAACGGCAUAAUAAUUUAACGGUACCGAAACAUCCAUUGACAUUUUCUGUAAAAUAAGUAAAAAAUAUUAAUAAUAAAAACAAAAUAUGUUAUUUCUCAAACUAA